rnacentral:rRNA from 1 species
UAGGGAAUCUUCCGCAAUGGACGCAAGUCUGACGGAGCAACGCCGCGUGAGUGAAGAAGGAUUUCGGUUCGUAAAACUCUGUUGUUAGAGAAGAACAGCGCAUAGAGUAACUGUUAUGCGUGUGACGGUAUCUAACCAGAAAGCCACGGCUAACUACGUGCCAGCAGCCGCGGUAAUACGUAGGUGGCAAGCGUUGUCCGGAUUUAUUGGGCGUAAAGCGAGCGCAGGCGGUCAAUUAAGUCUGAUGUGAAAGCCCCCGGCUCAACCGGGGAGGGUCAUUGGAAACUGGUUGACUUGAGUGCAGAAGAGGAGAGUGGAAUUCCAUGUGUAGCGGUGAAAUGCGUAGAUAUAUGGAGGAACACCGGUGGCGAAAGCGGCUCUCUGGUCUGUAACUGACGAUGAGGCUCGAAAGCGUGGGGAGCGAACAGG